UACGUAGGCAGCAAGCGUUGUUCGGAGUUACUGGGCGUAAAGGGUGUGUAGGCGGUUCUUUAAGUUUGGUGUGAAAUCUCCCGGCUCAACCGGGAGGGUGCGCCGAAUACUGAGGGACUAGAGUACGGGAGAGGAAAGUGGAAUUCCUGGUGUAGCGGUGAAAUGCGUAGAUAUCAGGAGGAACACCGGUGGUGUAGACGGCUUUCUGGACCGUAACUGACGCUGAAACACGAAAGCGUGGGUAGCAACCAGG
rnacentral:rRNA from 1 species